rnacentral:tRNA from 1 species
GUUCUUAUAGUUGAAAAUACAACGAUGGUUUUUCAGGCCGUAGGACUUGGAGAAAGGCCAAGUAAGAACU